rnacentral:rRNA from 1 species
AUUGAACGCUGGCGGCAUGCCUUACACAUGCAAGUCGAACGGUAACAGGUCUUCGGAUGCUGACGAGUGGCGAACGGGUGAGUAAUACAUCGGAACGUGCCUAGUAGUGGGGGAUAACUACUCGAAAGAGUGGCUAAUACCGCAUGAGAUCUACGGAUGAAAGCAGGGGAUCGCAAGACCUUGUGCUACUAGAGCGGCCGAUGGCAGAUUAGGUAGUUGGUGGGAUAAAAGCUUACCAAGCCGACGAUCUGUAGCUGGUCUGAGAGGACGAUCAUACAGACGGGGACUGAAACACGGCCCAGACUCCUACGGGAGGCAGCAGUGGGGAAUUUUGGACAAUGGGCGCAAGCCUGAUCCAGCAAUGCCGAGUGCAGGAUGAAGGCCUUCGGGUUGUAAACUGCUUUUGUACGGAACGAAAAGCCCCGGGUUAAUACCCUGGGGUCAUGACGGUACCGUAAGAAUAAGCACCGGCUAACUACGUGCCAGCCGCCGCCGUAA